rnacentral:rRNA from 1 species
UAACAGAUCUUUCGGGAUGCUGACGAGUGGCGCACGGGUGCGUAGCGCGUAUGCAACCUUACCCUUUACUGGAGGAUAGCCCGGGGAAACUCGGAUUAAUACUUCAUAGUACUAUAGAUUGGCAUCAUAGAAAUUAAGUUAAAGUAUUUUAUUUAGGGUAAAAGGAGUGGGCAUGCCGUACCAUUAGUUAGGUUGGUGAAGGUAAUGGCUCACCAAGACGAUGAUGGUUAGGGGGCCCUGAGAGGGUGAUCCCCCCACACUGGUACUGAGAUACGGACCAGACUCC